CCAGACUCCUACGGGAGGCAGCAGUGGGGGAUAUUGCACAAUGGGGGAAACCCUGAUGCAGCGACGCCGCGUGAGGGAAGACGGUUUUCGGAUUGUAAACCUCUGUCUUUGGGGACGAAUUGAGACGGUACCCAAGGAGGAAGCUCCGGCUAACUACGUGCCAGCAGCCGCGGUAAUACGUAGGGAGCGAGCGUUGUCCGGAAUUACUGGGUGUAAAGGGAGCGUAGGCGGGACGGCAAGUCAGAUGUGAAAACUGAGGGCUCAACUUUCAGACUGCAUUUGAAACUGCUGUUCUUGAGUGAAGUAGAGGUAAGCGGAAUUCCUAGUGUAGCGGUGAAAUGCGUAGAUAUUAGGAGGAACAUCGGUGGCGAAGGCGGCUUACUGGGCUUUUACUGACGCUGAGGCUCGAAAGCGUGGGGAGCAAACAGGAUUAGAUACCCCAGUA
rnacentral:rRNA from 1 species